rnacentral:rRNA from 1 species
AUUGAACGCUGGCGGCAGGCUUAACACAUGCAAGUCGAGCGGAGAUGAGGUGCUUGCACCUUAUCUUAGCGGCGGACGGGUGAGUAAUGCUUAGGAAUCUGCCUAUUAGUGGGGGACAACAUUCCGAAAGGAAUGCUAAUACCGCAUACGUCCUACGGGAGAAAGCAGGGGAUCUUCGGACCUUGCGCUAAUAGAUGAGCCUAAGUCGGGUUAGCUAGUUGGUGGGGUAAAGGCCUACCAAGGCGACGAACUGUAGCGGGUCUGAGAGGAUGGUCCGCCACACUGGGACUGAGACACGGCCCAGACUCCUACGGGAGGCAGCAGUGGGGAAUAUUGGACAAUGGGGGGAACCCUGAUCCAGCCAUGCCGCGUGUGUGAAGAAGGCCUUAUGGUUGUAAAGCACUUUAAGCGAGGAGGAGGCUACUGAGACUAAUACUCUUGGAUAGUGGACGUUACUCGCAGAAUAAGCACCGGCUAACUCUGUGCCAGCAGCCGCCGUAACAC